rnacentral:lncRNA from 1 species
UGAUUCUCCACUACUUAAUGUAUCAAAAUCAAGCUUCAUACAUCGCAAUUACGCCUGGUUUGAUUAGAAUGACAACUUUGUUGUCAUAUUCUCAAAUAGAAAAACUAGGAUCACCUGAUUUGAAAGUGGGAUAGCUUCUUCAUCCUCACUCCUAUGAGAUUUAUUCAACUUCCUUGUGAUUCUCCACUACUUUAUGUAUCAAAGUCAAGCUUCUUACAUCGCGAUUCAUCCUGAUUUGAUUAAAAUGACAAAGAAGUUGUCAUAUUCCCAAAAAAGAAAACUGGGAUCACCUGAUUUGAAAGUGGGAUACCUUCUUCAUCCUAAAUCCUAUGAGAUCUAUUCAACUUCCUGGUGAUUCUCCACUACUUUAUGUAUCAAAAUCAAAAUUCUUACAUCGCGAAUCAUCCAGGUUUGAUUAGUAUGACAAAGAAGUUGUCAUAUUCCCAAACAGGAAAACUGGGAUCACCUGAUUUGAAAGUAGGAUAGCUUUUUUAUGCAAACUCCUAUGAAAUUUAUUCAACUUCCUGAUGAUUCUCCACUACUUUGUGUGUAUCAAAAUCAAACUUCUUAUAUCGCGAUUUAUCCUGGUUUGAUUAAAAAGACAAAGAAAUUGUCUUAUUCCCAAACAGGAAAACUGGGAUCAACUUAUUUGAAAGUGGGAUAGCUUCUUCAUCCUAACUCCUAUGAGAUUUAUUCAACUUUUUGGUGAUUCUCCACUACUUUAUGUAUCAAAAUCAAGCUUUUUACAUCGCGAUUCUUCCUGGCUUGAUUAGAAUGACAACGAAGUUGUCAUAUUCCCAAACAGGAAAACUGUGAUCACCUGAUUUGAAAAUGGGAUAGCUUCUUCAUCCUAACUCCUAUGAGAUUUAUUAAACUUCCUGGUGAUUCUCC